rnacentral:lncRNA from 1 species
AGCCUGGGGAAGGCACUUUUUACAGCCGUUUGUCUGUCUACGCUGGAGCUAGGGGUUUGUUGUGGAGCUGGGGACCGGAGGAGGAUUUCUUUGAGGCAUGGGAGGGAAGGACCCUCGCCUUCUGUACUGCAUUUGAUGGAGGUUCCUAUGGCCAUGCGGGAUGAAGAGCAGAAAAGUUUGCGUUAGCCUAUAAUUUCAAGGGUGUUUAAUCCAGGCGGUGGGAUGACAAAAACCAGGUAAUUCUGAAAUCAGUUUAUAAAAGAUACAGAAAGGAAGAGAUGGAUACCAGGAUAAAGAUUUAAAGCCAGGAAGCCUGGGUUGCUUCUUUGCUCCCAAUUUUUCUUGAUCUAGUAUCUCGGGUUCCACAUCCAGCGCACAGACCUACCUUUCCUGGGGUGACAGAAAUUGACAAUUUCUUCAAGGUGAAAGAUUCAGUUAGUUUCUACAUCAGAUGACUCUCUAUGAAUAAAUUCACACUUCUGUGCAUAUAGGUGGGGGGAAUCUUAAAACUUCUUGUGGCUCUAAAAACUCGUACAGAAUCAAGAAGGCUGAAGAGCUAUUAUAUCUAACCCAGCCCAGGUGCAGAUUUCCAGAAGAAAGAAAUAAAAAUAAAACAUAAUGAUCAGAGAGGAAAAGCUGUGAACUAUAAACGUUUCCAGUUUUAUAUUUUUAAAUAGUGCCUCGAUUUAAGAUAUGAGUUCUCCCACAAUUAGAUUACCACUCACAAGGCUACCCAGCCCCUCCAGGCUCCUGAAAGCCAAGACCAGUGAGGAGGGGGCUGGGGACUGUUGCUUCUCUCCCUACCCCUACCCCUUUUUAGAGCUAGUGUGGGUGAGAGAAGAUAUUAAAGGGAUAUCUGUUGUUUGGCAAUUUUGCUAAGUCUGUCUUCAUUACUUUGCUGCUGUGCAUUUGCUAAUUUGGAGGCCUGGCCAUUGACAAGCUUGCUCCAUACACCUGCAAGCAAUUUGCCGGCUCCGGUACCAGAGAAUUGCAGAGAUGGCAGCUCGCACCUAUUUGAUUUUUUUUUUUCCUUUUCUCAAUGCACAGCAAAUUUGGCUUUCAGUGCGUUAUCUCUUUUGUUAAUGCAAAAAGAUUCCCUGGGCGAAAAAAUUGCUCAUAAUUACCAGAGAGAUGGGGAAACUGCAUUAGAAUAAAUAAACCUGAAAUUACUGUAAUUAUGUUGUGUUUGAUGGGCCCGGCUUGUAAUCAAGAAGAGAAUACAGUGAAAUGAUGCUGACCCUCUUGGGUUUGCAGCUGUACGCGCACUUUGGGGUCUUUUUUUGCAGAAAAGAGUCAUUUUGAUAAUCAUUAAGCUGUGUGUAACCUAUUUCAGAAGUGUUUUAAAAUGAGUUUCACAUUUUUUGAACAAGGGAAAAAAAUCCCAAAAUUGCAUUUUGCCAUUACAGACUCAUACAUAAGGAAAGGUUGUGUUUUCUAAGUGACAAUUGUUAAGACAUAAUAUUCGAAAUCAGUAUUUAAUCAUUAUAAUGAGGUAUUGUUUAAAUAUAACCACCUUUAGAUUAUUCAUAGUUUAAUUAAUAUACUCAUUAUGAAAAUCUUUGAAUCAGAUAUUUGAUGAACUACUUGUCAGUAACAAGGCAGCAUUAAUUAGGCCUAUAUUGAGAUUAACAUUUUUAAAAAGUACAACCGCUUAUAAUUAUAAUAAAGCCUAACUAAAGACCGUUUUCGUUGAGCUAAAACUAAUAAUUUCUCUAUUUGAACUGUUAGCAAGAGAUUAUUAAAUUAGUAUAAGCUAAUAUCUCAAAGUAUUACAAUCCGCUUGACCAAACAGAUUUUGCCUGUAGCUUGAGGCAUUGGGCCCUAGCUGCCGUCUGGGGGACCUGAGUCAGAUGCCGGACAGAAAUCUUCGCACUAGCAAAGUCACAUCUCCUAGGGGAAAUUGAACCUAGGAAGACCCCCUACCCCGCGCGGGAGCUGGGAAAUUCAUUCUUUCCUCAGCUUUGAGGCCCAUCUGACUGCCCACAUCCUGGUUUCUGAGGUCUGAUCUCUCCCAUCAGC